rnacentral:rRNA from 1 species
UACGGAGGAUCCGAGCGUUAUCCGGAUUUAUUGGGUUUAAAGGGUGCGUAGGCGGGAGAUUAAGUCAGCGGUGAAAGUUUACAGCUUAACUGUAAAAUUGCCGUUGAAACUGAUUUUCUUGAGUGUAAAUAAGGUAGGCGGAAUGUGUUGUGUAGCGGUGAAAUGCAUAGAUAUAACACAGAACCCCGAUUGCGAAGGCAGCUUACCGGGCUACAACUGACGCUGAGGCACGAAAGCGUGGGGAUCAAACAGGAUUAGAUACCCUGGUAGUCCACGCAGUAAACGAUGAAUACUAACUGUUUGCGAUAUACAGUAAGCGGUACAGCGAAAGCGUUAAGUAUUCCACCUGGGGAGUACGUUCGCAAGAAUGAA